UAAGAUCUCAAGAACCCUAAUCUUUACUUGUGGUUCAAGCAAUUCGGGUUUCAAACUUCUCUUCAUCUUAAAUCCGAUUUAAAAAUUUUGCGAUUUGAUUUGGUUGAUUUUAGUUCUGUUUAUUUUAAAAUCAAAACCCUAAACCCUUAAUAGUUUUACAUGACUUUAGUUUUGUAUGGACAACAAGUGAUACCCCUUUAAGGAUGACACGCUAUAUGUCCAAACAAAAUUUAAGGUUACCAGUCCGAUCCACACAGUGCUAAGUCCCAAACCGGCUAUGUUUUCACAUAUGGAGGCACGACCAUUUCAUGGAGAUCAGUCAAGCAGACUAUAUCAGCCACAUCAUCCAAUCACUCGGAUAUAUUGGCGAUCCAUGAAGCAAGCAGAGAGUGUGUCUGGUUGAGACUCAUGACACACCAUAUUCAGACAGCAUGUGAGAUCACGGAUGGUAAAGACGAGCCGACCGUUCUUUACGAAGACAAUGCGGCCUGCAUAGCUCAGCUCAAAGAUGGUUACAUCAAGGGUGACAAGACUAAGCAUGUUCUCCCCAAGUUCUUCUUCACCCACGAUCUUCAGAAAGAAGGAGAGGUCAAGGUACUCUAAGUCAGAUCCAGCGAGAACUCAGCCGACCUCUUCACUUAGGCAUUACCAACAUGCACGCUCAGGAAGCUUAUGCAGCAGACUGGUAUGCGAUCACUGAGAAGCCUUCAGUGAUGUUCACUUCAGGGGAAGUAAUGCGGCUGUACUCUUUUUCCUAUCCAUGGCUUCCCAUUUUUACCACAUUGGGUUUUUGGGUUUACCAUGGAAAGGUUUUAACGAGGCAGUAUUCCAAACGCAUUACAAACUCUAGACGGUUAUGGCAUUACAAUCUCGGUUUUUAACGAGGCAGCAUCUACGGCGUUUUGAAAGCACUUCGACAUAUUGAACAUCAAGGGGAAGUGUUAUAAAUAUUGUAGUGAUGUCCAUAUGGAAAGUCCUAGAUAUACUUGUUCCCCACUCCAAGUUAAGCUUUGUCUCCAAGCUAUUGUAUCCUAUAUAAGGAGAUCAUUAUUCAUGGAAUAAGACACACCAAUUCCUAUCUUCUCUUCUCUUUUCUACUUUAUUUACAACACUAGUUAGUAAGUAGGUGCACGUUUAAUGUUUGUUGACUUGUCAAUAAUAGACCUUAAAUCAUUGUUAAUAUCUCCGUGCGCAAGAACAAUCUAUACUAUAGUCAGUAUAUUAAAUCAUGUAAAAAUUAAUUAAAUGAUGUCAAAAUACACCCCUCCUAUAUAUAUUGCACACGUUAAUAUUUUUUUGAAGAUUAUAAUGUUCUUUUUAUCCAUUCUAAUUUAAUAUAUGUUUUGUUUAAACAACUUUUUUUAAAAAUCUUUGUAGUUUUCCUUAACCUUGACGAAUUCAUUAUAUACAUAAAAAAUCACUGAAUGCAUUAUUUAAACUGAAAUAUUUAAUUUUUUUUUUUGACAAAGGGCUUUAAAUAUUUCAAUUGUUAAGUUUUCUUCUUACACAUUUCUUUGAUGUUAUUCAUCAGCUUCGAAUUUAUAUCCAAAGUUAAAGCAAAAGGGAAAACUUUGAAUAUGUUACUUGUAAGAAGAAAUAUUCCUGAAUCUAUGCACAUAGGGAAAUUGAUGAGAUCAGCCGCAUGGAGUAAAGAGCGAAGUCGUGCAUUUGAAGAAGUCGCGGAAUAAACAUCGGAUCUUGAUCCCUUUGCAUGUUCUGUUGUUGUUUUUGAUUACGUUUUCGAAAAUUGGAGAGAGUAACGAACACAAUACUUCUCAUGAA